GGUAUUGUUUCUUCGGAAAUGAGAGAGCGGCGUACGGGUGCGGAACACGUGUGCAACCUGCCUUAUCUGGGGGAUAGCCUUCGAAAGGAAGAUUAAUACUCCAUAAUAUAUUGAACGGCAUCGUUUAAUAUUGAAAGCUCCGGCGGAUAGAGAUGGGCACGCGCAAGAUUAGCUAGAUGGUAAGGUAACGGCUUACCAUGGCAAUGAUGGGUAGGGGUCCUGAGAGGAGAUCCCCCCACACUGGUACUGAGACACGGACCAGACUCCUACGGGAGGCAGCAGUGAGGAAUAUUGGACAAUGGGCGCAAGCCUGAUCCAGCCAUGCCGCGUGCAGGAAUAAGGUCCUAUGGAUUGUAAACUGUCUUUUUAUACAGGAAGAAACACACCCUCGUGAGGGUACUUGACGGUACUGUAUGAAUAAGGACCGGCUAACUCCGUG
rnacentral:rRNA from 1 species